AUGCAUCAUGCGUGUGGCCCAUUACUUACGCUUUGGGCAAUCAUGGCCAGCUUAAUCAGCCACGCUGAUACUUGCAAGGUAUGUAUGCGAGUAUACGCGCUGCCGUGCACACUCCGCACAGAUUCACCAUCCACCAGCUCGAUUAGAUGCGUCUUGCAAGCCAACAAGCAACAUUUUUGCAAGGCCUAUAUAUGGCUAUGGCUAGAUCGAUGCCCGCAACACUCCAGCAGUUCAGAUUUUCAGCGUCAAUCAGUUGAAAAGAGGGAGAAAAACCGAAGAACAGUUGAUCCGCUGGACAUGUCUCCUGCCAGCUCGUUCGCGUCGCUUUGCCUGCGCAGGCUGAUCCACAUCCACUGCACCACCCGCCUCGGCUGCGACAACCCGCCAGCCACGGCGGCGGCGCACUUUCUGGCGUUGGAUCGGCGGAGAUCGUUUGCGUCCUCUGGCCUGCGUCGUGGCAUCAGAGAAACCGGUAGCAGCGGCGGCGGCGCAGGUGGCAGAGGACGACCUGCUGCAGGUUUCUCCACCUGGGCAAGACUGGCAAUUGGCUCCACUGUUGCUAUCGCGGCACCAUUCUUGCACUCCAAAUCGGCGUCGAUUCUGCGGAUCGGAAAUGAGGUGGAGAUGGUGAAGGACGCCGCCGAGACCGCGGCGGAGGUCGUGGAGGAGGUGGCCACGGCGGCCGAGAGGGUGUCGUCCGAGGUGGCCGGGCAUUUGCCGGAGGACGGCAGGCUGAGACGCGCCGCCGUGGCAGUCGAGCACGCCUCCAAGGAGGUCGCGGAGGAGGCUCAUCUUGCACGAGACAUCAUCCACAAGGUCGACGAAAUUGAGGAGGACGUCAAGGCAAUUAUCGAACCGAUUAUGGAUCAUGGGAAGCACGAGAGGAAGCAUUUACAAAAGUAG
rnacentral:rRNA from 1 species